CCUAACUGGCAAGCAGAACAACGCAUGCUAGACCAGCUCCUGAGCAAAGCUUGCAAAAUACACUUAUUAUACCUGCUACCUGCAGUUUUCCACUGCACAACAUGACUUCAUGCAUUGUGGGGAUCCUGAGGAAUCAGUUGGUACCAGACUCGGUGCUUCCCUGACCCAGGUUACUUACCCUACACUUUUUGCGGCCUACAAACCUGACAGGCAUAAAAAAUACAAUCUAUAAUGAAGGAAAUAGCUUAAAUAGCAUUAUAGAAAGUAUGAUGGGACGUGGGUAACUUGUUGUUACACUCACAAGAAAUAAGCUUGUAGCAGGCAUUUCAUUGUAGCAAUAAUUUUAAAUAUUCCAUCUGAACUCUGCAUGUAUUUUAUAAUAUUUAUAUAUGUAAUUUUCUAUAUAUUUAAUAAGAACAGUAAUUAGUUUCUUUUUGGUUUUCCUUUUUCCCCAUUCUAUAUAUAUUGUUUUAUGUGAAAAGAUAUCUUUAUGGGACUGGUGUAUUUACAGACAUUCAGCUUCUGGAGCGCAAGGGCGACCAAGGCGCAACCGGAAGACGUCACAAACAUCCAACACUGACUGAGGCUUGGGACGCAAGACUGCUAGAGAAUGCGCACAUAGGACUUUUAAAAAGAAUCCCGACGGAGACCAGCAACAUCACUAUCAGAUUCUCCUGAGGAAGUCCAUUUAUGGACGAAACGCGAAGGGCUGGGAUAACCAUAUAAUGACUAUAAUUUGUAUCUUGUAUUCAUUUUUAUUUUAAAUACAUUUUAUUUUGAUUUGUGUGGAUUGCAAGCUGCUAUCUGGUUACCGACUUCAGAACACCAUACCCUGGGUCUGGAUACACAUAUCAUGAUAUGCAAGCCUAAAGAAUCCAUUCUGUGAGUGCAAUUUGUAAUAAAAGGUGUUUUACUUUUUAAAGUGGUACACUAUGUUUGCUUUUCUCCCUCUUUUUCCUAUAUUGUCAAUGGAUUAAAAGAAAAGGACAGAAGGUUAACGUCCUAUAAAGAUACCUUUACGUUCCUGCUACAAGCUUAUUUCUUGUGAGUGUAACAAGUUACCCACGUCCCAUCAU